UAGAACGAGGUGUACGUUGGUAGCACGAUGGAUUUUGAAUCCUUAGGAGUAGGUUCGAGGCCUGCAGUUCUAG
rnacentral:tRNA from 1 species